UAUGAAAAUACGGGACCCACAAUCUUUUUAGUUUUUACCAUUAUUUAGUAAAUAAAUUUGAAACUAUCAUUGUUUGGUAAAAAAAAAAUUCGAAUUGCCAUGUUUUAGUUAAAAACUCGAUACACACACCCUCUAAAAGUUUCUACUUACCGAGAAUGGCAAGUUUCUCGUGCAACCUCGUUUAUCGGAAAUAACUAUGCACACACGUCACGACUUAAUUUAUCAUCGUUCGAUCUCAUCCGUUCCUCAUCACCAUCGCUUCUAUAAAAUGCAGAUUACGAGAAGAUAUAAUUUCCAUACAGCAGACGAAUAUAUAUCUCGUCUAGAAAUUUCCGAUCUGUUUUCUAUCUAUCGUUUGGCGUGAUGGAUCUGUCGACGAUCUACAAUUUGAUCCGAUUUUUCUUGUGUUUCUAUAAAUCGAUGAUGUUUUACGGAAAACCGAUGAUUUCGAUACGAGUUGUUGAUUUAUGACCUCGAUGUACCUUUGUUCGGCAGAGAUUGAUUUGUUCAGCAUGGGUCUGUCGAUUAACGUAUCAGAUCUACAGUUUACGCUUGCUAAAACGAAUCGGAACGUAAGGUUUUCUGGCAAUUCGUAGCAUUCCAUGAUGAUUCUGUUGGAUGAGUUUGAAUCCCUUGAUUCCGUUAGUCGGAUUGGUCUCUCAAGAUUGAUUUGUAAUGCGAAACUUGAAUUUGAUCUAUUGAUCGGAACUUGAAGUAUCGAUAUUGACAUCGAGGUUUGUAUGUAGAGGUAGCAAUCAGUCUUGUUUUGAUUAGGGGAUCAUGUAUGUCCCGAUUAUAUCCUGUUAUUCGGCCUUUGCCAUGAUGGGUGCGCUCGCAUGGCAGGCUACCAAUCCUAAUAAAAGAUCACUUUUUGUUUUCGAGGGGAGGUCGCACGGGGUUUCCCGGGAUCUCUCCUCUGGUGUGCCCUGUUUGUGCAUGGUGUUUGUGUGGUUUCUUCAAAUCCAAUUCACUUCAUUUCAAAUUCGAACAGCUGCAUCAACAACAAUUAUCCACUGAACAACAUCAUCUAGAUAAAGUUUAGCUGACUAUCACAAUAAGGUACUUCUCGUUUAAAUGCUUUUCAUCGUUUCUGACAUUGUUCGACUUUAAAUCCAUCCAAAUUAUGUCUCUCAGAUUAUGACAACCUUUUUGAUAAAUGUCUUGAGGCAUCCUAUUCCUAUAAUAAUUCCGUAAGUGUAUAUUUUGGCCUUAUAAUUUUAUGCUGGUUCAAAAGAUUUCUCAUAGAUCGUUGUACUUUUACUAAACAAGUUCACAGAUCAUUUGCGAACUUUACGAUUUUCGUUUAAUGGUUGCACCAAAUUAAUUUGAUCGUCUACUACAUGGCAAAAUCAUGUCAACUCUACACAUUUACAACCAAAAAAACCCACUUUUGGAAAGUUUUUAUAUUUUAUUACUACGUUUCGAAAGUUUUUAAUUUACAAAGAACCAAAACCAAAUGGCAGUCUGCAUUUAUAGUUCAAAUUCGUGGAAAUUAUAGGGAACUCAUAUAAAUACUGGCUGUUAGCUGCCUAUGGCUUUUGAUUUUGUGGAUGUGAUGUUAUAUUUUUGAGGUUUUAUUGUAUAAUAUUGUUAUACUGGACGCUGAACUCUUGUAUCAUUGUUGAUUUGAAUAUGUAUACAUUAUAUUCUGCAAUUCCCCUCUUGUGAGGUUUUUGGUUGGAGGACACAAUGUAAAAAUGUCGGAUGAUGUCAUUGUGGAAGCUUCUGGUGGAUUGUGGUUUUUAGCCUUUGAAGGCUGUGAUUGUUACCUGAUUUCUGCUGGAUUAAAGACAUGUCGCUUUUUGAGUUUUAAUGGUGUGUUGGUAUCAUCUCUACUGCGAUUUGCUGGUUGUAGGCGUUCUUCUUGAUGCUGCUGUUUCCAUUUCUAAAAUUGGAUUCUGGUAAACAAUUAUGGUCUUCACUUGGGUUGAUGUUGGAAAGUUGUAAAAUUAAUGGGAACCAAGUUCUGUUUUUAUGCGGGGCUCUUUAUAUAAUCAUUCAUCUAAAAAUUUUUUUAUUAAAAAAUGUAAAACAUCAAUUUUUAAUCGAUGGUAGUGGGCGAUUAUUGGGAA